rnacentral:rRNA from 1 species
AACGAACGCUGGCGGCAGGCCUAACACAUGCAAGCCGAGCGCCCAGCAAUGGGAGCGGCGCACGGGUGAGUAACACGUGGGAACGUGCCCUUUGGUUCGGAAUAACGCAGGGAAACUUGCGCUAAUACCGGAUAAGCCCUACGGGGGAAAGAUUUAUCGCCGAAAGAUCGGCCCGCGUCUGAUUAGCUAGUUGGUGUGGUAACGGCGCACCAAGGCGACGAUCAGUAGCUGGUCGAGAGGAUGAUCAGCCACAUUGGGACUGAGACACGGCCCAAACUCCUACGGGUGGCAGCAGUCGAGAAUUUUUCUUCAAUGGGGCAACCCUGAAGGAGCGACGCCGCGUGGAGGAUGAAGGCUUUC